rnacentral:rRNA from 1 species
CACGUAGGGGACGAGCGUUGUCCGGAUUCAUUGGGCGUAAAGCGCGCGUAGGCUGCUCGGAAAGUCGGUCGUGAAAUGCCGGGGCUCAACCCCGGGACUGCGUCCGAUACUCCCGAGCUGGAGGCAGGUAGGGGAGAUCGGAAUUCCUGGUGUAGCGGUGAAAUGCGCAGAUAUCAGGAGGAACACCGGUGGCGAAGGCGGAUCUCUGGGCCGUGCCUGACGCUGAGGCGCGAAAGCUAGGGGAGCGAACAGG